rnacentral:rRNA from 1 species
AGUGGACGCAUCACUGGUGUUCGGGUUGUCAUGCCAAUGGCAUUGCCCGGUAGCUAAAUGCGGAAGAGAUAAGUGCUGAAAGCAUCUAAGCACGAAACUUGCCCCGAGAUGAGUUCUCCCUGAGACUAUAAGUCUCCUGAAGGAACGUUGAAGACGACGACGUUGAUAGGCCGGGUGUGUAAGCGCAGCGAUGCGUUGAGCUAACCGGUACUAAUGAACCGUGAGGCUUAACCUUACAACGCCGAAGCUGUU